rnacentral:rRNA from 1 species
UACGAAGGGUGCAAACGUUGCUCGGAAUCAUUGGGCGUAAAGCGCACGUAGGCGGCGCUGCAAGUCGGACGUGAAAUCCCUCGGCUCAACCGAGGACGUGCAUCCGAAACUGCAGUGCUCGAGUAUGGAAGAGGGUCGCGGAAUUCUCGGUGUAGAGGUGAAAUUCGUAGAUAUCGGGAGGAACACCAGUGGCGAAGGCGGCGACCUGGGCCAAUACUGACGCUGAGGAGCGAAAGCGUGGGGAGCGAUCCGG